UACGGAGGGUGCAAGCGUUAUCCGGAUUCACUGGGUUUAAAGGGUGUGUAGGCGGAUCUUUAAGUCAGUGGUGAAAUCUCCAGGCUCAACCUGGAAACUGCCAUUGAUACUAUUGGUCUUGAAUUCUGUUGAGGUGGGCGGAAUACAUCAUGUAGCGGUGAAAUGCUUAGAUAUGAUGUAGAACACCGAUUGCGAAGGCAGCUCACUAAGCAGCGAUUGACGCUGAGGCACGAAAGCGUGGGGAUCAAACAGG
rnacentral:rRNA from 1 species